rnacentral:tRNA from 1 species
GACCAUAGUUCAGUGACAGUGCAUCUGCUUUGCAUGCAGAAGGUCCCAGGUUCAAUCCCUGGCAUCUACA